GACGUAGGGCGCGAGCGUUGUCCGGAUUUAUUGGGCGUAAAGAGCUCGUAGGCGGCUUGUCGCGUCGUCCGUGAAACCUGCAGCUCAACUGCAGGCUUGCGGUCGAUACGGGCAGGCUAGAGUUCGGUAGGGGAGACUGGAAUUCCUGGAUGUAGCGGUGAAAUGCGCAGAUAUCAGGAGGAACACCGGUGGCGAAGGCGGGUCU
rnacentral:rRNA from 1 species